UGGGGAAUAUUGCACAAUGGGCGCAAGCCUGAUGCAGCCAUGCCGCGUGUGUGAAGAAGGCCUUCGGGUUGUAAAGUACUUUCAGCGGGGAGGAAGGGAGUAAAGUUAAUACCUUUGCUCAUUGACGUUACCCGCAGAAGAAGCACCGGCUAACUCCGUGCCAGCAGCCGCGGUAAUACGGAGGGUGCAAGCGUUAAUCGGAAUUACUGGGCGUAAAGCGCACGCAGGCGGUCUGUCAAGUCGGAUGUGAAAUCCCCGGGCUCAACCUGGGAACUGCAUUCGAAACUGGCAGGCUAGAGUCUUGUAGAGGGGGGUAGAAUUCCAGGUGUAGCGGUGAAAUGCGUAGAGAUCUGGAGGAAUACCGGUGGCGAAGGCGGGCCCCUGGACAAAGACUGACGCUCAGGUGCGAAAGCGUGGGGAGCAAACAGG
rnacentral:rRNA from 1 species